rnacentral:lncRNA from 1 species
CGCACGGCUCGGUCAUCGCCGGGAUCCUAGGGACGGUUUAUAUACCUGAUACGCUGAUCCAUUUGGUGCAGGCAUUCGAUGCCCUCACAUGAACUGUUACGUACUGAAAUAUGCUGUACUAUCCUCAUGAGCGCCAUUAGUGACCAGAUAGGUAGGUUAGGUGGAAAUGGGACUACUAACUCUUUUCUGUGAAUAAAGGACCAUACAACUUCUUUCCCAUUCAGGAGGAGAUGCUUUUUAUUAACCUGUCCAAAGCUGGUUAUAAAUACCUUCCCCGCUCUUUGUGGACUCGAGCGAUAAGGCGAGCUCAGGUGUUCCCCAACUGUGAUCUACAGACCACCGGCAGUUAAGAAGGUUGUAGUAGGCGAUUAUAUUUUCAUUAUGGUUCUCAGUUAAUGUUUCAUGUGCACGGAAGUGCGCAGAAGGUUUUGAGGCCUGAUGGGGGCCCACUGGUGCAGGAAACUCGAGCACAACUGCCCUAGAUCACGUUACGAAAUAACGGCGUGCAUGCAGCCAGCGAUGGUCCAAAUUCUGAUCCGCACUGCGGGAAACGAGAAGUAACACCGCCGUUGACGUCCACGGACUUCUGCAUUUAUGAAGCUGGGGUCUGUGAUGAGCAAGGUCAAGAGGAAGGCAAACGGGCAGGCUGGUGUUAUAUUCACCGUGAGAGCGGCUCCAAGGCUCAGCUCUAGCAGUUGCAGAAGCGAUGCCAAGGCCGAUCCGUGACGGAACAGCACGGGGGUCAUUUUGCCUUGACGGACCUGUUUGCAAACAGCGCUAGAGUGACAUCGUCUGGUACGCUCACACCACCGUCGGCGUCUCCAUACGGCCCGAGGAGCUCCGAAAAUAUAAGAGCGGGGCUGGGGGCGCGGAGCGGACGCAGCCGGGACUUGGGCGGCAAGACGGGCGGAAAAUAAACCCGGAUUUGUCCAAGAAGCGAAACGGCA